rnacentral:rRNA from 1 species
CAAGUCGAGCGAACAGAAAAGGAGCUUGCUCCUUUGACGUUAGCGGCGGACGGGUGAGUAACACGUGGGCAACCUACCCUAUAGUUUGGGAUAACUCCGGGAAACCGGGGCUAAUACCGAAUAAUCUCUUUUGCUUCAUGGUGAAAGACUGAAAGACGGUUUCGGCUGUCGCUAUAGGAUGGGCCCGCGGCGCAUUAGCUAGUUGGUGAGGUAACGGCUCACCAAGGCGACGAUGCGUAGCCGACCUGAGAGGGUGAUCGGCCACACUGGGACUGAGACACGGCCCAGACUCCUACGGGAGGCAGCAGUAGGGAAUCUUCCACAAUGGGCGAAAGCCUGAUGGAGCAACGCCGCGUGAGUGAAGAAGGUUUUCGGAUCGUAAAACUCUGUUGUAAGGGAAGAACAAGUACAGUAGUAACUGGCUGUACCUUGACGGUACCUUAUUAGAAAGCCACGGCUAACUACGUGCCAGCAGC